rnacentral:rRNA from 1 species
GACGAACGCUGGCGGCGUGCUUAACACAUGCAAGUCGAACGAUGAAGAAGAGACACGCGAACUUCGGUUCAAAUUUCACUUCGGAUUAGUGGCAGACGGGUGAGUAACGCGUGAGCAACCUACCUCUUACAAAGGGAUAGCCUCGGGAAACCGUGAUUAAUACCAUAUGACACAUUCAUAAGGCAUCUUAAGACUGUUAAAGCUACGGCGGUAAGAGAUGGGCUCGCGUCCCAUUAGCUAGUUGGUGAGGUAACGGCCCACCAAGGCGACGAUGGGUAACCGGCCUGAGAGGGGGAACGGUCACAUUGGAACUGAGACACGGUCCAAACUCCUACGGGAGGCAGCAGUGGGGAAUAUUGCACAAUGGAGGGAACUCUGAUGCAGCGACGCCGCGUGAGCGAUGAAGGAAUUCGUUUCGUAAAGCUCUGUUCUAUGGGAAGAAAAGGACUGUACCAUAGGAGAAAGCCCCGGCUAAAUACGUG